CUUUUUUUUUUUUUUUUAAUUCGGGUUCCUCAGGCCCUCACCCCUGACCUUUAGUCAGACGGUCUCAGAGAAGGGUUGGGUUUAGAGCUGCUGUAACCCCACCAGAGAGCUAGAAAAUGACCAGACUGGGUUGUUAAUCCAAGUAGUCCUCACCCACGAGCUCUCCAGGCUGAAGCUACUGAAAAAUGGAAAAGCCAUUGGUAGUAUGGACUGUACGAAAAUGGAAGGGGAACAGAUUGGGUCCAAGAAUUGUAGUUUGUCAAGCUUUGCUCCGAACCCUUCAUGUCACCCACCACAGUUCUGAGCCUUGACCCUGCUCCACCCUCUGGCCUGUCAAGCCAGCCAUGAAGAUGAGGGUGUGGAAUACAACCCACCACCCAGACUCUUGCACCUGCCAGUCCAUCAAGACAGUUGUACAGGAACCAGAGCUGCAGUGACUGUUAGCUAUGAUAUGACACGCCACAACACCAGGC